rnacentral:rRNA from 1 species
UACGUAGGGUGCGAGCGUUGUCCGGAAUUAUUGGGCGUAAAGAGCUCGUAGGCGGUUUGUCGCGUCUGCUGUGAAAACUCGGGGCUUAACCCUGGGCCUGCAGUGGGUACGGGCAGACUAGAGUGCGGUAGGGGAGACUGGAAUUCCUGGUGUAGCGGUGAAAUGCGCAGAUAUCAGGAGGAACACCGGUGGCGAAGGCGGGUCUCUGGGCCGUAACUGACGCUGAGGAGCGAAAGCGUGGGGAGCGAACAGG